rnacentral:tRNA from 1 species
GUGUUGCUCAGUGGUAAAGUUUGUGCUUAGCAUGCAUGAGGUCCUGGGUUCAAUCCCCAGCAC